CCUACGGGUGGCAGCAGUGAGGAAUAUUGGUCAAUGGACGAGAGUCUGAACCAGCCAAGUAGCGUGAAGGAUGACUGCCCUAUGGGUUGUAAACUUCUUUUAUAUGGGAAUAAAACGUUCCACGUGUGGGAUUUUGUAUGUACCAUAUGAAUAAGGAUCGGCUAACUCCGUGCCAGCAGCCGCGGUAAUACGGAGGAUCCGAGCGUUAUCCGGAUUUAUUGGGUUUAAAGGGAGCGUAGGUGGAUUGUUAAGUCAGUUGUGAAAGUUUGCGGCUCAACCGUAAAAUUGCUGUUGAAACUGGCAGUCUUGAGUACAGUAGAGGUGGGCGGAAUUCGUGGUGUAGCGGUGAAAUGCUUAGAUAUCACGAAGAACUCCGAUUGCGAAGGCAGUUCACUGGACUGCAACUGACACUGAGGCUCGAAAGUGUGGGUAUCAAACAGGAUUAGAUACCCUUGUAGUC
rnacentral:rRNA from 1 species